rnacentral:tRNA from 1 species
GCCUUCGUGGUGUAGUGGUCAGCACACUCGGUGCAUAUUCGAGAGGUCCGGGGUUCGAGUCCCGGCGAGGGCA